ensembl:lncRNA
GGGGCCGCAAUGCUGAGGUGGUGGAGGGGCGCGGCUGCGUUGUGUGGAGUUACGUUACCUGGGGACGGUGCAGCGCUGUGCGAAACUGAGCGGCCUGCAGCUGUCCGGGCUGUGAGGAGUGCGCGGGGCAGCCGACGUGGGACGGCCGUGCGCGGGGAGUGCGGGAUGGGCGCCGCCCUCAGCUGCGCCGUGUCCGUGCGCGGAGUGUCCGCCUCAGAUGGUACGCGGUGACCUGCUUGAGCCGGUGCGUUAAGGGGCUGGUUUUCUCUUAUGCUUCCUUGAGUUUGGCGCAGAGUGAUUUUAACCGCGUUUAAAAUGUGUAUUCCCAAAUACGCGAGCAUCUCUUGCAGUGAGGAGCACAUAACGUCUGUGGGUCCGUUGGUCUGACCUGAGAAGUUUCCCCGAAUGACUGGAGCACACAAAAACGAGCACACCAACACACUGCUGUACGCCAGGUGCUGUAACUGCCAACUCCAUAAUGUGUGUCAUAAUGUUAAGGGAGACCCGGGGCUGUUUGGAGGGCGUUGUGCUGAGCACAGUAAUCACUUUGUGUUCAAAACGUAUUUAACAACAGGAGAGUUACGUCUGCGAUACAUGCCAGCCUGGCAAUGACACGAAAAUACGUGUGAUGUGUGUGUAUAUAUCCGUAAAGUAUAAAAAAUGCUGCAUGGAUUAAAGCAGAGGAUGAUUUGAAGCCUCUGUAGGGAAGAACAGCGUUGUGUAACCUCUCCAAACUACUGAGCGGGUUAAUCAAUACCUGUGAAGAACAUUUAAUUAGCAGCUGUGCUGGGUGGCCGAGGUGGCUCUUUCCACUCCUGUGCCUCCAAUGGGGUGAGGAGCGGUUCCAGCAGGCAUUGAGGGCUGUUUCUUUUUCCCCAGGAAGUGAAUAAGUGGCCACACGCUGAUGGGAUAAUAGAGAAAAUAGAAUAAUUUGCUUUAGUUCUAGAAAAUACUUCUGGUUUCUGGUUUGGGUGAUGCUGAGAUAUUGUUCAUUUCUGUGUGCAGCAGUGUUACUGCAGCAGAAAAACUGCAGGAAACUGGCUCCUUAUUUUAUAUGUUUGUCUCUUUGUUUCAUGUUACACUUGAUGUAUGGGAGAGAAAAUCUGCACAAUGAGUGACUGGCUAUUUCUAUAUUUGAAG